UCUAAAACCAAAUAAAAUCAAUAUACUGUACAUGUGUGUAGUGUAAGCGUUCAUUUUCUGGAAGAGGCUGUAAAACAGAGUUAAAAGGUGACCGAUGGCAGCCGUACUGAGUCAGCUGGGGAGUAAACUGUGGCGGUUCUCAGAGGUAGCUCAUGUGAGCCAGCAGUGACAUCUGUACAUGCAGUAGCCUUAAAAUGCUGAUUAUUUAUUCUCCUGCUAGAACAGGAGGCGAGAGCAGAGAACAAGAGUGCAGCAGUUUGGUGAAAGGUGAAGAAGAGGUGAGCAUCCAAAAGACGAGCAAGAGGACAGUUUCAUAGGAGACAUCACGGCACAAUAAAAGCUAGAAACUCACCUGAUGUAGUGGUAAGGCCAUGUUCACCACUAGAUGGAGACAACCUGGCACAGUCUAUAGAUCCAGUCACACUUUCUACCUUCACCUGUGCAGUAAAGACUGAGAGCAGAGCUGAAACCAACCGUCCAAUCAGUGAGCAGCAUCAACACCUGAGCUUCAUUCAGACUCUGUUAUUGAAGAUGUUGUUGGUGCAAAGUUCAUCUGCUGCUCACAUGAAUCCAUGAAAGAUUUAUUUCACUGAAUGUUUCUUCAAAGCUCAUUUCAACCUGUUGAAGUCAUGAAUGAAAGUGCAGACUGAGAGUGGAUCACAUGAUGUUUAAGGUGAGUCAUGUGACAUGUUCAGUAUUGUCACACAUGUCUAGAUUGUCCCUGAUAUCAUAACUGCUCAAACACUGAUGAUUAUAUUUGAAGAAUUAUUCCUGAUGGCAGCAAAGUUUGAAUGGAGCUCUCUGUCUGUGCUGAUUUGUCGCCCUC